GCCUGGCUGGCUCAAUUGGUGGAGCAUGUGACUCUUGAUCUCAAGGUCAUGAGUUCAAGCCCCAUGCUGGGCA
rnacentral:tRNA from 2 species